rnacentral:rRNA from 1 species
UCGUACGCUUCUUUUUCCCCGGAGCUUGCUCCACCGGAAAAAGAAGAGUGGCGAACGGGUGAGUAACACGUGGGUAACCUGCCCAUCAGAAGGGGAUAACACUUGGAAACAGGUGCUAAUACCGUAUAACAAUCGAAACCGCAUGGUUUUGAUUUGAAAGGCGCUUUCGGGUGUCGCUGAUGGAUGGACCCGCGGUGCAUUAGCUAGUUGGUGAGGUAACGGCUCACCAAGGCCACGAUGCAUAGCCGACCUGAGAGGGUGAUCGGCCACAUUGGGACUGAGACACGGCCCAAACUCCUACGGGAGGCAGCAGUAGGGAAUCUUCGGCAAUGGACGAAAGUCUGACCGAGCAACGCCGCGUGAGUGAAGAAGGUUUUCGGAUCGUAAAACUCUGUUGUUAGAGAAGAACAAGGAUGAGAGUAACUGUUCAUCCCUUGACGGUAUCUAACCAGAAAGCCACGGCUAACUACGUGCCAGCAGCCGCGGUAAUACGUAGGUGGCAAGCGUUGUCCGGAUUUAUUGGGCGUAAAGCGAGCGCAGGCGGUUUCUUAAGUCUGAUGUGAAAGCCCCCGGCUCAACCGGGGAGGGUCAUUGGAAACUGGGAGACUUGAGUGCAGAAGAGGAGAGUGGAAUUCCAUGUGUAGCGGUGAAAUGCGUAGAUAUAUGGAGGAACACCAGUGGCGAAGGCGGCUCUCUGGUCUGUAACUGACGCUGAGGCUCGAAAGCGUGGGGAGCAAACAGGAUUAGAUACCCUGGUAGUCCACGCCGUAAACGAUGAGUGCUAAGUGUUGGAGGGUUUCCGCCCUUCAGUGCUGCAGCUAACGCAUUAAGCACUCCGCCUGGGGAGUACGACCGCAAGGUUGAAACUCAAAGGAAUUGACGGGGGCCCGCACAAGCGGUGGAGCAUGUGGUUUAAUUCGAAGCAACGCGAAGAACCUUACCAGGUCUUGACAUCCUUUGACCACUCUAGAGAUAGAGCUUCCCCUUCGGGGGCAAAGUGACAGGUGGUGCAUGGUUGUCGUCAGCUCGUGUCGUGAGAUGUUGGGUUAAGUCCCGCAACGAGCGCAACCCUUAUUGUUAGUUGCCAUCAUUUAGUUGGGCACUCUAGCAAGACUGCCGGUGACAAACCGGAGGAAGGUGGGGAUGACGUCAAAUCAUCAUGCCCCUUAUGACCUGGGCUACACACGUGCUACAAUGGGAAGUACAACGAGUCGCGAAGUCGCGAGGCUAAGCUAAUCUCUUAAAGCUUCUCUCAGUUCGGAUUGUAGGCUGCAACUCGCCUACAUGAAGCCGGAAUCGCUAGUAAUCGCGGAUCAGCACGCCGCGGUGAAUACGUUCCCGGGCCUUGUACACA